rfam:Oryza sativa Japonica Group DNA, chromosome 9, cultivar: Nipponbare, complete sequence.
AAUAAAUGCAGUUUUGCACUAUUCAUGUUCAACGUUUGAUCGUUCGUCUUAUUUAAAAAUUUUGUAUGAUUAGUAUUUUUUAUUGCUAUUAGAUGUUAAAACAUAAAUAGUACUUUAUGUGUGACUAAAUAUUUUUAAAUUUUUCACAAAGUUUUCAAAUAAGAUGUACGAUCAAACGUUGGGCACAGAUAUUAUCCAGUCAAG